rnacentral:lncRNA from 1 species
CAGCGUUAGUCGAGUAUGACAUGUGCUUUUUAGGGCAUGCCACUUUAGCACAGGUAUUUCUACAUACCCCCCACUAUGCCCGAUAUUCUAAGAAAAGUCCCCUUUUACAUAGAAGAGGUCGGAUUAACAUAGCGUUCAUAUGCUAAAGCAACAACCAAUGCCUUCUUGUCAUCUAGCUUUUCUUUUUUAUCGGAGCGAAAGCUAAAGUAGUACUCUAUAACCAAUAGGGUGGAAGUAUAGGCUUUUAGUGACGUCUUCCAAGUCUAUUGAAUUAUAGUACUUUGUCUCCCAAGUACAAUAUACUAGUCCGGGCCAGACUAAUAUAUUCAUACUCUAGAUGUUUCAUUGGUCAUUAUAUGAAAUUAAAUGCCCAGCAAAAAAGUAACUACCAGUGAGGGGGCUAUUGGAGAUAGCACCCGAGCGUAACUGCUGUAUAGUAAUAGGGUGCCCGAAUGUAUAGUUAUAGGGUGCGCGAAGCCCACCUCCCGUAUUUAAAAGAGGAGGGAGGUGGGUCCUUAGCGCCACCCAGAUAGAGUGUGAAGAGGAAGAGUGAGGGGGCUAUUGGCUAUAGCACCCGAACGUUAACUUCAUAGCUCUAUUUUAGUAUCUUAUAGAACUACUUAGAACUACUGAGUUUAUUGUUUAUUGUCCUUGUCCGGUAAGCCUCCCUGAGGGAGGUAUGGAGGGGUAACGUACCUAUUUUGUACUUCCUAGCACUUCCAAGUGCUAGGCUUUCCUGCGCCUUCCCUAAAGGGAAGUCGUCUGAGC